CGGCGGAACACGUGAAAUUCCGUCGGAAUCCGGGAGGACCAUCUCCCAAGGCUAAAUACUCCCUAGUGACCGAUAGUGAACCAGUACCGUGAGGGAAAGGUGAAAAGCACCCCGGAAGGGGAGUGAAACAGUUCCUGAAACCGUGUGCCUACAAGUAGUUAGAGCCCGUUAAUGGGUGAUAGCGUGCCUUUUGUAGAAUGAACCGGCGAGUUACGAUUUGUUGCAAGGUUAAGCGGAAAAAGCGGAGCCGUAGCGAAAGCGAGUCUGAAUAGGGCGCAUAAGUAACAGGUCGUAGACCCGAAACCAGGUGAUCUACCCAUGUCCAGGAUGAAGGUAAGGUAAUACUUACUGGAGGUCCGAACCCACGCACGUUGAAAAGUGCGGGGAUGAGGUGUGGGUAGCGGAGAAAUUCCAAUCGAACUUGGAGAUAGCUGGUUCUCUCCGAAAUAGCUUUAGGGCUAGCCUCGAGGUAAAGAGUCAUGGAGGUAGAGCACUGUUUGGACUAGGGGCCCUUCUCGGGUUACCGAAUUCAGAUAAACUCCGAAUGCCAUGUACUUAUACUCGGGAGUCAGACUGCGAGUGAUAAGAUCCGUAGUCGAAAGGGAAACAGCCCAGACCACCAGUUAAGGUCCCCAAAUAUAUGUUAAGUGGAAAAGGAUGUGGGGUUGCUUAGACAACCAGGAUGUUGGCUUAGAAGCAGCCACCAUUGAAAGAGUGCGUAAUAGCUCACUGGUCGAGUGACCCCGCGCCGAAAAUGUACCGGGGCUAAACAUAUUACCGAAACUGUGGAUGAACCUCUUUAGAGGUUCGUGGUAGGAGAGCGUUCUAAGGGCGGUGAAGUCAGACCGGAAGGACUGGUGGAGCGCUUAGAAGUGAGAAUGCCGGUAUGAGUAGCGAAAGAAGGGUGAGAAUCCCUUCCACCGAAUAUCUAAGGUUUCCUGAGGAAGGCUCGUCCGCUCAGGGUUAGUCGGGACCUAAGCCGAGGCCGAUAGGCGUAGGCGAUGGACAACAGGUAGAGAUUCCUGUACCAGUGCUAAUUGUUUAACCGAUGGGGUGACACAGAAGGAUAGGGAAUCGCACGAAUGGAAAUGUGCGUCCAAGCAGUGAGUGUGAGAAGUAGGCAAAUCCGCUUCUCGCGAAGCAUGAGCUGUGAUGGGGAAGGAAAUUAAGUACGGAAGUUCCUGAUUUCACGCUGUCAAGAAAAGCCUCUAGGAAGAGUAGUACUGCCCGUACCGCAAACCGACACAGGUAGAUGAGGAGAGAAUCCUAAGGUGAGCGAGAGAACUCUCGUUAAGGAACUCGGCAAAAUGACCCCGUAACUUCGGGAGAAGGGGUGCUCUAUUAGGGUGCAAGCCCGAGAGAGCCGCAGUGAAUAGGCCCAGGCGACUGUUUAGCAAAAACACAGGUCUCUGCAAAACCGUAAGGUGACGUAUAGGGGCUGACGCCUGCCCGGUGCUGGAAGGUUAAGAGGAGUGCUUAGCUUCGGCGAAGGUACGAAUUGAAGCCCCAGUAAACGGCGGCCGUAACUAUAACGGUCCUAAGGUAGCGAAAUUCCUUGUCGGGUAAGUUCCGACCCGCACGAAAGGCGCAACGAUCUGGGCACUGUCUCAACGAGAGACUCGGUGAAAUUAUAGUACCUGUGAAGAUGCAGGUUACCCGCGACAGGACGGAAAGACCCCGUGGAGCUUUACUGCAACCUGAUAUGGAAUGUUUGUACCGCUUGUACAGGAUAGGUAGGAGCCGAAGAGACGUGUGCGCUAGCAUACGAGGAGGCAAUGGUGGGAUACUACCCUGGCUGUAUGACCAUUCUA
rnacentral:rRNA from 1 species